CGCCAACCUCACGUAGAGAUCUUGUCCUCCAUCGACGUAGCGCAGGUCGACGAGGUCGUCGGCCCAGAUGAUGCAUCCGCUCCCGGCGCCGCCGCCGCCGCCGCCUUCGAUGUCGGCGGGGGCGCGACGCACGAGCAGUUGGCGAGGCACCGCGCCCUGCACUCCUCCACCGUGACGCGCUUGUCCACCGUCGCGUUAUGCGCGUCGGGGAGCUUCACGCCGCGCACCGCCAGGAAGCCGUCCGUGGCGCAGCCCAGCGCCGCGUCUCGCCGGCACCCGGCGGAGGUGUCCCUCAUCUUCUUCCACGGCGACGGCGACGCCGGGGUGAAGCCCUCCACGCAGCUGCAGAACGACGUCGACGCCGCGCCUGCGUCGCACAGGCCGAACGCCCCGCACUUGCCGUCCCUCGGCCCCUGGAAGAAGUUCUUCCAUGCCCGGCUGCUCGGCUCCCACACCAGCCGCUGGACCUCGCCGACGCCCGUCACCACGAGGCGGGAGAACGGCGCGCCGGCGUUGGCGGAGUAG
rnacentral:lncRNA from 1 species